rnacentral:rRNA from 1 species
UACGGAGGAUGCAAGCGUUAUCCGGAUUUAUUGGGUUUAAAGGGUGCGCAGGUGGUUAAAUAAGUCAGUGGUGAAAGUCUGCCGCUUAACGGUAGGAUUGCCAUUGAUACUGUUUAACUUGAGUUUAGGUGAGGUAGGCGGAAUGUGUAGUGUAGCGGUGAAAUGCAUAGAUAUUACACAGAACACCGAUUGCGAAGGCAGCUUACUAAUCUACAACUGACACUGAGGCACGAAAGCGUGGGGAUCAAACAGGAUUAGAUACCCUGGUAGUCCACGCUGUAAACGAUGAUCACUCGCUGUUUGCGAUAUACAGUAAGCGGCUAAGCGAAAGCGAUAAGUGAUCCACCUGGGGAGUACGAUCGCAAGGUUGAA